rnacentral:rRNA from 1 species
UACGUAGGGUGCAAGCGUUGUCCGGCAUUAUUGGGCGUAAAGAGCUCGUAGGCGGUUUGUCGCGUCGGCUGUGAAAAUCCGGAGCUCAACUCCGGACCUGCAGUCGAUACGGGCAGACUAGAGUGCUGUAGGGGAGACUGGAAUUCCUGGUGUAGCGGUGAAAUGCGCAGAUAUGAGGAGGAACACCGAUGGCGAAGGCGGGUCUCUGGGCAGUAACUGACGCUGAGGAGCGAAAGCGUGGGGAGCGAACAGG